GAUUAACGCUGGCGGCGUGCAUAACACAUGCAAGUCGAACGAUGAAACUUAAAUGAUUUCUUCGGAAUGAACUUAAGUGGAUUAGUGGCGGACGGGUGAGUAACGCGUGAGUAACCUGCCUUACACAAGGGGAUAGCCGUUGGAAACGACGAAUAAUACCCUAUGAUGUUUCUAUCUCGCAUGAGAUAUUAACCAAAGUGUUAGCGGUGUAAGAUGGACUUGCGUCUGAUUAGCUAGUUGGUGAGAAAAAAGCCCACCAAGGCAACGAUCAGUAGCCGGCUUGAGAGAGUGUACGGCCACAUUGGGACUGAGACACGGCCCAGACUCCUACGGGAGGCAGCAGUGGGGAAUUUUGCACAAUGGGGGAAACCCUGAUGCAGCGACGCCUCGUGAUUUAGAAGGCCUUCGGGUUGUAAAAAUCUUUUGUAUAGGAAGAAAAUGACAGUACUAUACGAAUAAGGUCCGGCUAAUUACGUG
rnacentral:rRNA from 1 species